rnacentral:piRNA from 1 species
UCAAAAGGUAGCCUAUCAAAACCCUAGUC